AACCAGGCGAUAUCUCUCCACUACCCUGCCCGCCAGAGAAUUACACGCACCCUAGCGUAAAACUCAAAGGACUUGACGGUGUCCCAUACCGACCUAGAGGAGCCUGUCCUAUAAUCGAUAACCCGGGAUAAACCUUACCCCCCAUUGCAUAAAACUCCAUUUUCAACCUAUAUACCGCCGUCGCCAGCCUACCUUAUGAAAGCUAAUAGAAGUAGGAAAAUAGCUUACCACUAAAACGUCAGGUCAAGGUGUAGUUAAUUGGGGGGCAGUGAUGGGCUACAUUUUCUAUCAGUAGAAGCCCCCAGCAAUAUGAAACUAGUGCUAUAAGAAGGAUUAGCAGUAAACGGGGCGAGAACUGCCCCUUGAAGACCGCCCUUAGACGCGU
rnacentral:rRNA from 1 species